rnacentral:tRNA from 2 species
UCUGUAGCUCAGCUGGAUAGAGCAACGGCCUUCUAAGCCGUGGGUCGGGGGUUCGAAUCCCUUCAGGC